UACGUAGGGAGCAAGCGUUGUCCGGAAUCAUUUGGCGUAAAGAGCGUGUAGGCGGCUCGGGUAGUCUGGUGUGAAAUCUUUCGGCUUAACCGGAAGCGGUCACUGGAUACUCUCGGGCUUGGAUCCGGAAGAGGAGUGUGGAAUUCCUGGUGUAGCGGUGGAAUGCGCAGAUAUCAGGAGGAACACCAAUGGCGAAGGCAGCACUCUGGGACGUGAUCGACGCUGAGACGCGAAAGCGUGGGGAGCGAACAGG
rnacentral:rRNA from 1 species